rnacentral:rRNA from 1 species
AGUGGCGGACGGGUGAGUAACGCGUAGGAACGUGUCUUGGGGUGGGGGAUAACGCUGGGAAACUGGCGCUAAUACCGCAUAAGGGCUGAGGCCCAAAGCCUUCGGGUGCCUUGAGAGCGGCCUGCGUCCGAUUAGCUAGUAGGUUGGGUAAUGGCUGACCUAGGCUGUGAUCGGUAGCUGGUCUGAGAGGAUGAUCAGCCACACUGGGACUGAGACACGGCCCAGACUCCUACGGGAGGCAGCAGUGGGGAAUAUUGGACAAUGGGCGCAAGCCUGAUCCAGCAAUGCCGCGUGGAUGAAGAAGGUCUUCGGAUUGUAAAGUCCUUUCGGCGGGGACGAUGACGACGGUACCCGCAGAAGAAGCCCCGGCUAACUUCGUGCCAGCAGCCGCGGUAAUACGAAGGGGGCUAGCGUUGCUCGGAAUGACUGGGCGUAAAGGGCGCGUAGGCGGAUCACACAGUCAGGCGUGAAAUUCCUGGGCUUAACCUGGGGGCUGCGUUUGAGACGUGGGGUCUAGAGUGGGGAAGAGGGUCGUGGAAUUCCCAGUGUAGAGGUGAAAUUCGUAGAUAUUGGGAAGAACACCGGUGGCGAAGGCGGCGACCUGGUCCUUGACUGACGCUGAGGCGCGAAAGCGUGGGGAGCAAAC